rnacentral:rRNA from 1 species
AGAGUUUGAUCAUGGCUCAGGACGAACGCUGGCGGCGUGCCUAACACAUGCAAGUCGAACGGUUCUAAGCGCGAGCUUAGGAUAGUGGCGAACGGGUGAGUAAAAGGUAGAAAUCUACCCCUUGGACGGAGAUAGCUACUGGAAACGGUAGGUAAACUUCGAUAAGCCCGAGAGGGGAAAGUGGUGAGACAGCCGAGGGAUGAGCCUACUCUCCAUCAGGUAGUUGGUGAGAUAAAAGCUUACCAAGCCGAUGACGGAUAACCGGUGUGAGAGCAUGAACGGUCACAAGGGCACUGAGAGACGGGCCCUACUCCUACGGGAGGCAGCAGUGGGGAAUCUUGGACAAUGGGCGAAAGCCUGAUCCAGCAAUGCCGCGUGCAGGAUGAAGGCCUUCGGGUUGUAAACUGCUUUUGUACGGAACGAAAAGCUUCGGGUUAAUACCCUGGAGUCAUGACGGUACCGUAAGAAUAAGCACCGGCUAACUACGUGCCAGCAGCCGCGGUAAU